UACGUAGGGUGCGAGCGUUGCCCGGAUUUAUUGGGCGUAAAGAGUGUGUAGGCGGUGUUCUAAGUCUGGUGUGAAAUCUCCCGGCUCAACUGGGAGGGUGCGCUAGAAACUGGAAUGCUAGAGGAUGGGAGAGGUAAGCGGAAUUCCUGGUGUAGCGGUGAAAUGCGUAGAUAUCAGGAGGAACACCUGUGGUGUAGACAGCUUACUGGACCAUUUCUGACGCUGAGACACGAAAGCGUGGGUAGCAAACAGG
rnacentral:rRNA from 1 species